rnacentral:ncRNA from 1 species
GGGCCGUUACUGACGCUGAGGAGCGAAAGCAUGGGGAGCGAACAGGAUUAGAUACCCUGGUAGUCCAUGCCGUAACGUUGGGCACUAGGUGUGGGACCCAUUCCACGGGUUCCGUGCCGCAGCUAACGCAUUAAGUGCCCCGCCUGGGGAGUACGGCCGCAAGGCUAAAACUCAAAGGAAUUGACGGGGGCCCGCACAAGCGGCGGAGCAUGCGGAUUAAUUCGAUGCAACGCGAAGAACCUUACCAAGGCUUGACAUACACCGGAAACGUCCAGAGAUGGGCGCCCCGCAAGGUCGGUGUACAGGUGGUGCAUGGUUGUCGUCAGCUCGUGUCGUGAGAUGUUGGGUUAAGUCCCGCAACGAGCGCAACCCUUGUCCUGUGUUGCCAGCGGGUUAUGCCGGGGACUCAUGGGAGACUGCCGGGGUCAACUCGGAGGAAGGUGGGGAUGACGUCAAAUCAUCAUGCCCCUUAUGUCUUGGGCUUCACGCAUGCUACAAUGGCCGGUACAAAGGGCGGCGAUGCCGUAAGGUGGAGCGAAUCCCAAAAAGCCGGUCUCAGUUCGGAUUGGGGUCUGCAACUCGACCCCAUGAAGUCGGAGUCGCUAGUAAUCGCAGAUCAGCAACGCUGCGGUGAAUACGUUCUCGGGCGUACACACC